UUGGCAGAACGUCUCCACUUAGCUUACGGUCUCUGGUUCCUGUUGGGAAACUCAGGGCUUGCCAAAGUGUUCAUUUUACUAAGUGAACAACGCCAUUCUUGGCUUCUGUCUUGCUACUCACUGCAGUCUUGUGCCGUGCUCCCCCUUUUGAGCGUCUGUCAAGGUCGUGAGAGAUUAGCCCUCGGCGGGGGCGGGGCCCUUCCGAGGUCAGAUCGUUUCUCAACUGGCUAGGGCAUGUCGCAAGAUACAGGAGGGCUGUCCUGGUCCUUGGGCUCGCCACCUUGCUCCUUCUCCAGGUCGAUGUGCACCCGUGACCGGUUGCCUAAGCCCCCCGGGGCCUCCGUGAAACACCUAGGUCUCACUGGCUUUGGGGACUGACAAGUAUGGCCUUAAGUACCGCGCUCUAACUUGCUGUGUGACCACGGACAAGUUGCUGGGGUUCUCUGAGCUUCACUCUCCUCAUUUGCAAAUGAGGGCAAUCAUCAUAGGGACUUUGGAGACGUUGAGUACGAGCCACUGGUACCGUGCCUGGUGUAUUUACCACACCUGAUCUAUGCUACCUUUUGCUCUCAGGAAGAUUCUCUGCUGUGAGGAGUACGGCUGUGCCACAGUGCCCUGGCCAAGGUGAAGGUGGUGCUGCCUUCUCAGGCAGUGGGUGUGCAGAACAUCUCCACGUGCACCCGGGCUCGCUCGGGAACCUGGACGCUUCUCUGUCGGCGGCGCUGUGCAGGGGAAAAGGCAGCCGCAACCUGUUAGCAAUUACGCUAUUGUUGUUAUGAUUCUCCGAAGCCAAAGCAACCUUGACUGGGACUUCAGUUUCACCUCCUGUUUACCGGGGGACCCCUCAGUCUCAGUGUUCUUCUCUGGAUAAGGGGACAAUAAUACCUCUUCGUAGGGUUGUUUUAAAGUCUAAAUAAAGUGACGUGUGUAAGAUUGCUUGCAUUUAGCUGCAUUCGAUAAAUAUUCCCACAUUGUCACUCACCUGUCUCCUUAUUCUAGCUCUUUAUUCUCUUGCCGGAAGUAUGGACUUCAGACGACUAAGCUUGUUACGAUCCUGUAUAAAAUGACCAGCCUUCUCAGGGCAGUUCAGAGAAUCAAACGCCGUUUUGUUUAGUGGAUAGUCUCCGUUAAAUCUGUUUGAGCUGCUCAGGGUUGCCUUCGCUAUGUCGGACUUCGCGGCGUGCGCUGGACAAGUGGGGUUCGUGGACAAGUUCCACGCCUCCCUGUGCCCUGAGACGCAAUGAUAUUGAAAUAAGGCCAGUGAGUCACCCAACAGCGGCCUUUAAGUGCUCAAAUGGAAGGAAGAGUCAUAUGUCUCUCACCUUAAAUGAAAAGCUAGAAAUGAUGAAGCUUCGUGGGAAACGUGUGUUGAAAGCCGAGACAGGCUGAAAGCGAGGUCUCGUGGGCCCAACCGGCAGCCGAGUCGCGAAUGAAAAAAGAAAGUUAUUGAAGGCCCUUAAAAGUGCGGCUCUAGUGACCACACAAAUAAGAAAGUGAAGCAGCCUUAUUGCUGAUGUGGAGGAAGUCUGAGCGGUCUGGAUAGAAGGCCAAACCACAGCAUUCCCUGAAGCCAAAGCCUGAUCGAGAGCAAGGCUUAGCUCUCUGUAACGCUAUGAAAGCAGAGAGAGGUAAGGAAGCCACUCGAGUUUAAAACCAGCGGAGGUGGGUUCGUGAGGUUGAAGGAAAGAGGCCGUCUCCGUAACAUGAAAGUACAAGGUGAAUCUGUAAGCACUCGUGUAGAAGCUACAGCAAGUUCUCCAGAAGAUCUGCCGAAGAUAAUUCACGAAGGUGGCUACACUCCAGAACAGACUUUCAGUGUAGGCCAAAGUGCCUUCUGUUGGAAGAAGAUGCCACCGAGGACUUUCAGAGCUGGAGAGGAGAAGUCAAUGGCUGGCUUCAAAGCUUCAAAGGACAGGCUGACUCUCUCGUUAGGGGCCAGUGCAGCUGAUCACUUGAAGCUGAAGUCAAUGCACAUUGUCCAUUCCAAAAAUCCUGGGGCCCUUAAGAGCUAUGCUAAAUCUGCUCUGUCUGUGCUCUGUAAGUGGAUCAGUGAAGCCUGGAGGGCAGCACAUCUGUUUACAACAUGGCUUACUGAAUAUUUGAAGCUACUGUUGAGAUCUUCUGGUCAGAAAAAAAGAUAGCCUCCAACAAUUCUGCUCAUUGACAAUUGACCUGUCACUCAAGAGCUCUGAAGGAGUUGUACAAGGAGAUUAAUAUUUUUUUUUUGGAUUAAUGCUGUUUUCAGGCAUGCUAAUGCAACACCCAUUCUGUAGCUCAUGGAUCGAGAAGUAACUUUGACUUAGGAGUCUUAAGAAAUACAUCUUGUAAGGCUAGAGCUGCCAUAAGUAGUGAUUUCUCUGAUGGAUCUGGGCAAAGUCCAUUGAAGAUCUUCUGGAAAAAAUUCACUAUUCUAGAUGCCAUUAAGAACAGUCAUGGUUCGUGGGAGGAGGUCAAAAUAUCAACACGCACAGUCGGUUGGCAGAAGUUGACUCCCACCCUCCUCUCAUCUCCCUGCAUAGUUCUGGGUUAGUGUGGACUACAGGAGGCACUUGACAUGAGUUUGGAAGGUAGACGCGAACCAGCAGCCAUCUUUUUAUGCUUAGCAGUUAGGCAGGGCACAUGGCUCUCUGGCACACACAUUCUUGCCUAUCUGCUGGCUCAACCAGUUGACUUAGGGCAGUUGGCUGGGCCCUCAGUUCUUCCAGCUUGUUCUAGGAACUCCUUCAGCUUCUCUGACUGGACUGUGACGAGGCUACCAGAAUCUCCGGCAGAAAGUCGCAGUCAUUGAGGUUUGGGCUUAAAGUCGGUGUGUGAAAGAUAAUGGGUUCCAGCCUGUCCUCGUGGUUUCCUCCCAUAUUUUAGCGUCAGUCCAGUUCUUGCUUCCCCCGCUUCAUGUACCUCUCUACCUGCCCCUGUCUGCCUGUCGGCUUGCCCUUUUGGAUUUGAGGCUUCAGCACCAAAUGGAGAACCACUUGUUCUCCACCAAGUGGAGAACUGCACAAGCUGCGCAGUUAAGGGUUGAACUGUGUCCUCCAAAAGACCUGUUGAAGUCCUAACCUCCCGUACCUCAGAAUGUGACCUUGCUUGGCAAUGGGGUCGUUGCAAAUAUAAUGAAUUAAGAAAGGUCACACUGGGGUAGGGUGGACUUUUGAUCCUUUUGAGGAUCUUUUGUCCUCAUGAGAAGAUGGCCAUGUGAAGACAGAGACCUAAGGGGUGAGCACAAGGUAGUGACAGGUACAGAGACUGAAGGGCUGCAGCUGCAAGCUAAUGGACACCAAGGACUCUUGGCGACCACCAGAAGCUGGGGGGAGCAGAGAGGGACCCUCCCCUUAUAGGUUUCAGAAGCUGAUGGCCCCGCCAACACCUUGAUUGUGGAUUUCUUCUACUCUCCAGAACUGUGUCCCGAUAGGUUUCUAUUGUCUUAAAUUUCUUUACAGCGACCCUAGAAAACAAAUACAUUCACAUAGACAGUUGUGUAAGCUUGGAUCUCUAUGACACAUGCAUAUACGUGUAUGGAUUAUAUGUAUAAAUAUAAAUAUAUAAACAUGUAUAUAAUCUUC